AAGAAAGAAUAUUCUUGACAGUGAAAGGUCUGUCUGGUAGAGAAAUUUUCACCGCUUGGAUCCGCUGAAGGACUGAGACGGAAGG
rnacentral:ncRNA from 1 species